CUGUGUGUUGUUGGGUAGGGGAGCGUUCUGUAAGCCUGUGAAGGUGGCCUGUGAGGGUUGCUGGAGGUAUCAGAAGUGCGAAUGCUGACAUAAGUAACGAUAAAGCGGGUGAAAAGCCCGCUCGCCGGAAGACCAAGGGUUCCUGUCCAACGUUAAUCGGGGCAGGGUGAGUCGACCCCUAAGGCGAGGCCGAAAGGCGUAGUCGAUGGGAAACGGGUUAAUAUUCCCGUACUUGGUGUUACUGCGAAGGGGGGACGGAGAAGGCUAUGUUGGCCGGGCGACGGUUGUCCCGGUUUAAGCGUGUAGGUGUGUGUUCCAGGUAAAUCCGGUUCACUUUAACACUGAGGCGUGACGACGAGGCACUACGGUGCUGAAGCAACAAAUGCCCUGCUUCCAGGAAAAGCCUCUAAGCAUCAGGUAACAUCAAAUCGUACCCCAAACCGACACAGGUGGUCAGGUAGAGAAUACCAAGGCGCUUGAGAGAACUCGGGUGAAGGAACUAGGCAAAAUGGUGCCGUAACU
rnacentral:rRNA from 1 species